AUACCGGUAUGGCAAGUUCUACAGGAUGCAGACAGGAACUCAUCUCAACAUUGUCCUGGGGACCUACCAAAAUGGAGGCUGUUAUUGGGAAGACUCUCCGUAAGCACACACAAGGGUGCUAGGCAGCCAGAACUACGUAUGCAGAGCAAUGAUCCCAGCUAGAGGAGCUACUGACUGAGCGAAUGACUGACAGACAAAGCAGAAUGUCGGUCCCGGGAUGCCCCUCGACUGGACACAGUUUAAUCAUCUCCCAUCAUCCAGACUGAUGUUUUCCUUCUGGCUCUGGGCUUUCGCUGGGAGACAUGAGCCAACGAUUAGAGUCUAUUCCAAACAUAUGGAGCCGCUGCGGGCAGCUGCAGGAAUGCACAGCAGGAGGCGAUCGGAGGGGAUGGAGAUAGGAGGAUACCAGGCAUGAGAGAGAGGAGAAUUCAAUUUACUGUGGUAUGUAAAUACCGAAUGAGUCAAUCCACCCAGGAUAGCGUACUCAUCCCAACCCAACUCCGGCAGCACUGCAAGAGAAGAAUGACCUCUGCUUAAAGGCUGCAGUGGGUUCCCCAUCCCCAUUCAGCGCGUGAGGGAAUUCCUCUACUCCAGGGUGCAGCACAUCCCAGUCACACUAAGCCAGAGAGUGGGAUGAGGGAAGAAGGAAGAGGAGUGGGAGAGAGGAGAAAAAUGCGCAUCCAAAGCAUCCCACAGGCAGAUUAACCCUUUAGACUUGCCACAAAGUUCAACUUUGGUCUGAGCCCUUGCAGGAGGAGGACAAAGUGAAAUUCUCUCUGGCUCAGAUUGGCGUUGGGCCGACACGUCCAUUUUACUAUUGGUGCUUAUUUCAUUUCUGAGUGUGCACGUUUGUAUUGAUUGUGAAAGUGCCCAAAGCAAUGGAUGGGCGCUCCCCCCAUGGCAUUGUGUGCUCUGAACAACAGAUGGAAACAUGAUUGACACUGCUGGCACUCAACAGGUGAGGAGGAAGACUGAUUGCCUGUCAAAUCACCUGAGAUCUCCUUGAGCAAAAGCCACCUCAACUGAGGAUAGCCUGGCCAGACAAGAACACGUAAUGACCAAGAUCAUUGCAGAGGCAUGCGGCAGAAAUGUAGCACUUUUGCACCGGCUUAGGGUCUCUCUGUAGAUUGCAGUCUAAGCUUUCCUUAAAAAAUAAACCCACACCUUUCUCGUCCUGCUACAGCACUGUAUUCUUGGCUCCACAGCCUGCAACAACAGCUCCAAGUUAGAUAUGAACUGCUGCUCGUUCUUAGCAGGGUUAACGCAGACGCCUGGUGAUAACUCUUUAAAUAUCAACAUGAACUUAAC